GCGGGGGCCGCGCGGCUCAGGCAGUCGGGGCGCGAGGCUGCAGCGGCGGAGCCGGAGUCGGAGCCGGGAGCGCGAGCGGCGGCCGGAUCGCAGCCUGCGGGGCCCGCCGCAGCCAUGGGCAACCGCGGCAUGGAAGAUCUCAUCCCGCUGGUCAACCGGCUGCAAGACGCCUUCUCUGCCAUCGGCCAGAACGCGGACCUCGACCUGCCGCAGAUCGCCGUGGUGGGCGGCCAGAGCGCCGGCAAGAGCUCGGUGCUCGAGAAUUUCGUAGGCAGGGACUUCCUGCCUCGAGGAUCUGGCAUUGUCACCCGACGUCCCCUGGUCUUGCAGCUGGUCAAUGCAACCACAGAAUAUGCCGAGUUCCUGCACUGCAAGGGAAAGAAAUUCACCGACUUCGAGGAGGUGCGCCUUGAGAUCGAGGCCGAGACCGACCGGGUCACCGGCACCAACAAGGGCAUCUCGCCGGUGCCUAUCAACCUCCGCGUCUACUCGCCGCAUGUGCUGAACCUGACCCUGGUGGACCUGCCCGGAAUGACCAAGGUCCCGGUGGGGGACCAACCUCCCGACAUCGAGUUCCAGAUCCGGGACAUGCUUAUGCAGUUUGUCACCAAGGAGAACUGCCUCAUCCUGGCCGUGUCCCCUGCCAACUCUGACCUGGCCAAUUCUGACGCCCUCAAGGUCGCCAAGGAGGUGGACCCCCAGGGCCAGCGCACCAUCGGGGUCAUCACCAAGCUGGACCUGAUGGACGAGGGCACAGAUGCCCGUGACGUGCUGGAGAACAAGCUGCUCCCCCUGCGCAGAGGCUACAUUGGGGUUGUGAACCGGAGCCAGAAGGACAUUGAUGGCAAGAAGGACAUUACCGCCGCCUUGGCUGCUGAACGAAAGUUCUUCCUCUCCCAUCCAUCUUAUCGCCACUUGGCUGACCGUAUGGGCACGCCCUACCUGCAGAAGGUCCUCAAUCAGCAACUGACGAACCACAUCCGGGACACACUGCCUGGGCUGCGGAACAAGCUGCAGAGCCAGCUGCUGUCCAUUGAGAAGGAGGUGGAGGAGUACAAGAACUUCCGCCCUGAUGACCCGGCUCGCAAGACCAAGGCCCUGCUGCAGAUGGUCCAGCAGUUCGCCGUAGACUUUGAGAAGCGCAUUGAGGGCUCAGGAGAUCAGAUCGACACCUAUGAACUGUCAGGGGGAGCCCGCAUUAACCGAAUCUUCCACGAGCGCUUCCCCUUUGAGCUGGUCAAGAUGGAGUUUGACGAGAAGGAACUUCGAAGGGAGAUCAGCUAUGCUAUCAAGAAUAUCCAUGGCAUUAGGACGGGCCUCUUCACACCUGACCUCGCUUUUGAAGCCACAGUGAAAAAGCAGGUGCAGAAGCUCAAAGAGCCCAGUAUCAAGUGUGUGGAUAUGGUAGUCAGUGAGCUCACAGCCACCAUCAGAAAGUGUAGCGAAAAGCUCCAGCAGUACCCGCGGCUGCGGGAGGAGAUGGAGCGCAUUGUGACCACCCACAUCCGGGAGCGCGAGGGCCGCACCAAGGAGCAGGUCAUGCUUCUCAUCGAUAUCGAGCUGGCUUACAUGAACACCAACCAUGAGGACUUCAUAGGCUUUGCCAAUGCUCAGCAGAGGAGUAACCAGAUGAACAAGAAGAAGACUUCAGGGAACCAGGAUGAGAUUCUGGUCAUCCGCAAGGGCUGGCUGACUAUCAAUAAUAUUGGCAUCAUGAAAGGGGGCUCCAAGGAGUACUGGUUUGUGCUGACCGCUGAGAAUCUGUCCUGGUACAAGGAUGAUGAGGAGAAAGAGAAGAAAUACAUGCUGUCUGUGGACAACCUCAAGCUGCGGGACGUGGAGAAGGGCUUCAUGUCGAGCAAGCACAUCUUUGCCCUCUUUAACACGGAACAGAGGAAUGUCUACAAGGAUUAUCGGCAGCUGGAGCUGGCCUGUGAGACACAGGAGGAGGUGGACAGCUGGAAGGCCUCCUUCCUGAGGGCUGGCGUAUACCCUGAGCGUGUUGGGGACAAAGAGAAAGCCAGUGAGACUGAGGAGAAUGGCUCCGACAGCUUCAUGCAUUCCAUGGACCCACAGCUGGAACGGCAAGUGGAGACCAUCCGGAAUCUUGUGGACUCGUACAUGGCCAUUGUCAACAAGACCGUGCGGGACCUCAUGCCCAAAACCAUCAUGCACCUCAUGAUUAACAAUACCAAGGAGUUCAUCUUCUCGGAGCUGCUGGCCAACCUGUACUCGUGUGGGGACCAGAACACGCUGAUGGAGGAGUCGGCGGAGCAGGCACAGCGGCGCGACGAGAUGCUGCGCAUGUACCACGCGCUGAAGGAGGCGCUCAGCAUCAUCGGCGACAUCAAUACGACCACCGUCAGCACGCCCAUGCCCCCGCCCGUGGACGACUCCUGGCUGCAGGUGCAGAGCGUACCGGCCGGACGCAGGUCGCCCACGUCCAGCCCCACGCCGCAGCGCCGAGCCCCCGCCGUGCCCCCAGCCCGGCCCGGGUCGCGGGGCCCUGCUCCUGGGCCUCCGCCUGCUGGGUCCGCCCUGGGGGGGGGCGCCCCCCGUGCCCUCCAGGCCGGGGGCUUCCCCUGACCCUUUCGGCCCUCCCCCUCAGGUGCCCUCGCGCCCCAACCGCGCCCCGCCCGGGGUCCCCAGAAUCACUAUCAGUGACCCCUGAGGAGCGUCAGCCAUGGAAGGGCCCAGCCUCACCUACGCGACCUGCAGCCCCCCGACCAGCUGAGGCUCCCCUCUUAGACUUAUAAGUCUGUGGCCACUGGCAUCUGGCUGCCUGCCCUCCCUGCCUCCCCCAGGGUCAUUUCAGAGGGUCCUGGGUUUUCUGACCACCCAGAAGGGCCUCUGGCGCUCCCUCCAGCCAUGCCUUUUAGUUUCACCCUCCUGGUUCAAGCAGUGUUCUUUCUCUAUCAGGCCUGGUGGCUGUUGCGUGGGGCUCCCCAAGGCAAGGGGUGGCCCUGGGCCGGUGGGUUGGAAGACAGGGUGACCAUAGAAGAGGGAAGCCCGAGGGGGCCGAGCAUCAGCUUGAACUGUGGGUGCCCUGCCUGGGUGCUGUGUGAGAGGCCAGCGUGUGUGGGGUGGGGAGGGCCGCCACAGUCCCCAGGCGAUACCUGUGAAGCUACAGCUCCUCCCUCCAUCUUCCUCCCCUUUUCCUUCCAGCCCCUCUUUUCCAGGAACCUUGCUACACCCACACCUGCACCCUCCCCUCCCCGGCCCUCCCACCUGCUGCGGUGCGGGCCGGCCCCAGCCGGCUGUGUGCUGCACUUGCCUUACCAGCUCUCUCCUCGAUUUUCUCUCUCCCGUUUUCUCUUUGCUUUCUCUCCAACUGCCAGCCGAUCGGGUCAGGCAAGUCCAUCCCGUCCUGAGAGCCCCAGGCCCCCCUUCGACCUCUAAACAGAUCCCUCCUCUUCUCGGAGACCUCCCUUUCCAAGCCUGCCUGGACGGCUGUUCUGUGACUUGACAGUGGCUUCCCUAGCCCCAAAGCCAGCCCCCUUCAUCUGUGACUUAGUCUGUUGUAGUGGUGAGCUGACACCUCCAGGCGUGACCAUUGGUGAAAACUUGUGCCCCUUUUGUGGUAUGCCCUGCCCUGUUCUAUAAAUAUCUAUAAAUACUCAUAUAUAUACACACCUACACAUGGCCGACCGCCUCGCCUCUAGCGCUGGGAAUCAGUCACUGUGCUGUCCUUGUGGAGUCUUGUGGCCCAACUACAAGAGAACGCUGUCCCCUGACAUCCCCCUCUGAAGUGUGCCACCUCCAGUGAGCCUCCCUGUCAUGCCCAGCCUGUGGACAGCCAGCCCCCGCCAUACUUCCCGCCCCCUACCAAGCAUGGGGGUGCUGUGCAGGCAGCCGUGUGGCCUGACAGUCUCUACCAGUCCUGCUGUCCCUCGGCUGAGAAUAAAACCUAUUUCUGGAUGA